UACGGAGGGAGCUAGCGUUGUUCGGAAUUACUGGGCGUAAAGCGCACGUAGGCGGCUUUGUAAGUUAGAGGUGAAAGCCCGGGGCUCAACCCCGGAAUUGCCUUUAAGACUGCAUCGCUUGAAUCCGGGAGAGGUGAGUGGAAUUCCGAGUGUAGAGGUGAAAUUCGUAGAUAUUCGGAAGAACACCAGUGGCGAAGGCGGCUCACUGGACCGGUAUUGACGCUGAGGUGCGAAAGCGUGGGGAGCAAACGGG
rnacentral:rRNA from 1 species